rnacentral:rRNA from 1 species
AUUGAACGCUGGCGGCAGGCUUAACACAUGCGAGUCGAGCGGUGUGAUGGUGCUUGCACUAUCACUUAGCGGCGGACGGGUGAGUAAUGCUUAGGAAUCUGCCUAUUAGUGGGGGACAACAUCUCGAAAGGGAUGCUAAUACCGCAUACGUCCUACGGGAGAAAGCAGGGGAUCACUUGUGACCUUGCGCUAAUAGAUGAGCCUAAGUCGGAUUAGCUAGUUGGUGGGGUAAAGGCCUACCAAGGCGACGAUCUGUAGCGGGUCUGAGAGGAUGAUCCGCCACACUGGGACUGAGACACGGCCCAGACUCCUACGGGAGGCAGCAGUGGGGAAUAUUGGACAAUGGGGGGAACCCUGAUCCAGCCAUGCCGCGUGUGUGAAGAAGGCCUUAUGAUUGUAAAGCACUUUAAGCGAGGAGGAGGCUCUUUUGGUUAAUACCCAAGAUGAGUGGACGUUACUCGCAGAAUAAGCACCGGCUAACUCUGUGCCAGCCGCCGCUGUAA